rnacentral:rRNA from 1 species
AUUGCCCCAGUAACGGCGAGUGAAGCGGCAACAGCUCAAAUUUGAAAUCUGGCCCCUAGGGCCCGAGUUGUAAUUUGCAGAGGAUGCUUUUGGCGAGGUGCCUUCCGAGUUCCCUGGAACGGGACGCCAUAGAGGGUGAGAGCCCCGUCUGGUUGGACGCCGAGCCUCUGUAAAGCUCCUUCGACGAGUCGAGUAGUUUGGGAAUGCUGCUCUAAAUGGGAGGUAUAUGUCUUCUAAAGCUAAAUACCGGCCAGAGACCGAUAGCGCACAAGUAGAGUGAUCGAAAGAUGAAAAGCACUUUGAAAAGAGGGUUAAACAGUACGUGAAAUUGUUGAAAGGGAAGCGCUCAUGACCAGACUUGGACCCGGUGAAUCAUCCAGCGNUUCUCGCUGGUGCACUUUGCCGGGNCUCAGGCCAGCAUCAGUUUGCCCCGGGGGAUAAAGGCUUUGGGAAUGUGGCUCCCUCGGGAGUGUUAUAGCCCAUUGCACAAUACCCUGGGGCGGACUGAGGUUCGCGCAUCNUGCAAGGAUGCUGGCGUAAUGGUCAUCAGCGACCCGUCUUGAAACACGGACCAAGGAGUCGUCUUCGUAUGCGAGUGUUCGGGUGUAAAACCCCUACGCGUAAUGAAAGUGAACGCAGGUGAGAGCUUCGGCGCAUCAUCGACCGAUCCUGAUGUUCUCGGAUGGAUUUGAGUAAGAGCAUACGGGGCCGGACCCGAAAGAAGGUGAACUAUGCCUGUAUAGGGUGAAGCCAGAGGAAACUCUGGUGGAGGCUCGCAGCGGUUCUGACGUGCAAAUCGAUCGUCAAAUAUGGGCAUGGGGGCGAAAGACUAAUCGA